AACGAACGCUGGCGGCACGCCUAACACAUGCAAGUCGAACGCUCGGGGGCAACCCCGGGAGUGGCGGACGGGUGAGUAACGCGUGGGAACCUGCCCUAUGGUGCGGGACAACUCCGGGAAACCGGGGCUAAUACCGCAUGUUCCGGGUCGCGAGAUCCGGCAAAGAUUUAUCGCCAUGGGGAGGGGCCCCGCGUCGGAUUAGGUAGUUGGUGGGGUAACGGCCUACCAAGCCUACGAUCCGUAGCUGGUCUGAGAGGANGGCCAGCCACACUGGGACUGAGACACGGCCCAGACUCCUACGGGAGGC
rnacentral:rRNA from 1 species